rnacentral:rRNA from 1 species
GACGAAGGGGGCUAGCGUUGUUCGGAAUUACUGGGCGUAAAGCGCGUGUAGGCGGUUAUCCAAGUCGGGUGUGAAAGCCUUGAGCUCAACUCAAGAAAUGCACUCGGUACUGGGUGACUAGAGGACCGGAGAGGAUAGUGGAAUUCCCAGUGUAGUGGUGAAAUACGUAGAGAUUGGGAAGAACACCAGUGGCGAAGGCGGCUAACUGGUCCAGAUCUGACGCUGAGGUGCGAAAGCGUGGGGAGCAAACAGG